ACGGCUCAGUAACACGUGGACAACCUGCCCUUAGGACGGGGAUAAACCCGGGAAACUGGGUAUAAUACCCGAUAGGUCUCGAGUGCUGGAAUGCAUCGAGAUCUAAAGCUCCGGCGCCUAAGGAUGGGUCUGCGGCCUAUCAGGUAGUAGUGGGUGUAGUGUACCUACUAGCCUACGACGGGUACGGGUUGUGAGAGCAAGAGCCCGGAGAUGGAUUCUGAGACACGAAUCCAGGCCCUACGGGGUGCAGCAGGCGCGAAAACUUUACAAUGCUGGCAACAGCGAUAAGGGAACCUCGAGUGCCAGGUUACAAAUCUGGCUGUCGUGAUGCCUAAAAAGCAUUGCAUAGCAAGGGCCGGGCAAGACCGGUGCCAGCCGCCGCGGUAACACCGGCGGCUCGAGUGGUAACCGUUAUUAUUGGGUCUAAAGGGUCUGUAGCCGGCCGGAUAAGUCUCUUGGGAAAUCCAGCAGCUCAACUGUUGGGCUUUCAGGAGAUACUGUCUGGCUCGAGGCCGGGAGAGGUGAGAGGUUCUUCAGGGGUAGGGGUGAAAUCUUGUAAUCCUUGAAGGACCACCAGUGGCGAAGGCGUCUCACCAGAACGGACCUGACGGCAAGGGGCGAAAGCUAGGGGCACGAACCGGAUUAGAUACCCGGGUAGUCCUAGCCGUAAACGAUACUCGCUAGGUGUCGGCCACGGUGCGACCGUGGUCGGUGCCGUAGGGAAGCCGUGAAGCGAGCCACCUGGGAAGUACGGCCGCAAGGCUGAAACUUAAAGGAAUUGGCGGGGGAGCAC
rnacentral:rRNA from 1 species